rnacentral:tRNA from 1 species
GAGAGGUGCCAGAGUGGUUGAUUGGGGCCGCCUGCUAAGCGGUUGUACCUGUUAAAGGGUACCGCAGGUUCGAAUCCUGUCCUCUCCG